AAAUACUCCUCUUUCUGGGCAUCACUGAACCCUCGUAUCUCUGUCACCUGGUGGACACACUCAGGAGGUAUCUGAUUGGCUGCUGCUGGCCGGGAGGUUAUCCAGAGGAGAGCGGAUGGAAGCAGAUUCCCCUUAAUGAGGUCUUCUGCAUCUGACCAUCACUGUCCAGGUCAUUGUCCUCCUCCAGCUGAGGCUCAGAGCAUUCUGGGUCAUUCUGAUCCAGGAGGAAACCCAUGUGAUAGAGGGAGAGCAUGCAGCUGCAGACAGGAAAACGUCUCUUUCUGAAGUAGAUUUUGGGGUCCAUUGACCUGUCACUCUUCAUGGAAACACAGCUGGGUACAGGUGAGCCUGCUCUCUCCAUCAGGACACUGUGGACAGUGAGAGGAAAAAACCUCAUUGUAUAAAUAUAUUCCAUAUAAUGUGGACAGGGUCACUUUGAAGGUGGAUGAGAUUAGAUACUUGGGGUCAACUGCCCAAAGUAAUGGAAAGUGCAAUAAAAAAGUGAAGAGGAUACAGGCAGGGAGGAGUGAGUGGGGAAGAGUGACAGGAGUGAUGUGUGACAGAAGCGUAUCUGCAGGGGGGUGUCUUGUGUCUGUUUGCAUGUAUAUUUACCUUUGAUCUGUAGGAAAAGGUUUCUCUCUGAAGUAGAUUUUGGGGUCCAUUGACCUGUCACUCUUCAUGGAAACACAGCUGGGUACAGGAUGGAUGAUCUAUUUGUUGUCUCUCGUGUAAAAGAACUGGCUGACUAGAAGAAAAAGGAGGAGAAGAUGUCGAGGUCUUUUUCUUAAUCUACACGUAUUAACAUGUUCCACACUGAGCCAGCCCUGGCUAGGAUCCCUUUCUGCUUUUAUAUUAUGGCCUGACUAUAGACCCAAAGAGACAUGCAUGCUAGUGGGCUGUAACAAUCGUUUUACCAUAAAUCACAAUGUUCUUCACAACACGACCCUGACAGUGUUCCUGUCUUAUUCCUGUUCAUUUUACUCCUGUGAUCACUGUCAUUUUGCAUAACUGAUACUGAUUAGAAUUAAAAACACUCAAUGCCACUGUCUUUCCUACAGUUAUUGUGUGGAAAAGCCACAAAGAGGUUCACCAUCCGGACUGUUGAAUACCCAGAGUGCAGCAUGGGGGUGGAUCAAUGAUGAUCUGGACUGCAAUAUCAUGGCAUUUUCUAAGUCCAGGACUUGUUUUAUCUAGAUGUGUGUGUCACUGCCAAGGAUGACCAAACCAUUCUGGAGGAAAAUGUUCACCCAAUGGUUCAAUCAUUGUACCCUGAAGGUGGUGCCAUGUAUCAGGAUGAUAAUGUACCAACACACACAGAAAUACUGGUGGCGUAUACCGAGCCAACCUUUGUGCAGGGGAACAUUAAAGCGAGCUGGAAGCACACAGUAAUUAUUAUCUGUAUGUGUAACGGGUCGGAUACAGCAUGGUUCCUGUAUGCAAGGGGAAAAAGACCUUUAGAUCCUACGCAGUUUUGGCCAGCUGUGGUUUUGGGGCCCUUCAAUUACCUAGGGGGGCCUCGACCCUGUCCCCCAUGGCAACCAUCAGCACCCGUUUUUGGACAAAAUCCUCCAAUAACUAUGUAGUGCUUGUUGUUAGCAUCUUAGCACACUGGUUAAUGGAAACUGUGUGUUUUGGGGUCUCAGGGUCCAGUUAAUUACCAUGAGGUUCCAAAGCUCUGUUCCCUGUUUGUGAAGACAGUCAGCAAUCAUUUUAUU